rnacentral:lncRNA from 1 species
AAAGUGCAAGCUCCAAAACACUCGAAACACCAAAUGGUCUACAAGACAAUAAGGUCCAUGAUUACAGGUUUGUUGGUCCAUAAACUCUAGAGAGUCAUCAUGUCCAUGUGCAUCAAUAGGUUGAGUACCUGAAAACAUUUUGCACAAAUUUGUCAAGAAAGUGGAACCAGAUCAAGUUGUUAAAAUCUCAUAUGCAUAUUAAAAAUAUUCGAUCAAAAGAUUAUCAUGAUAUCAUAGUUAAUAAUAUAUCCUUGUGUUUCAAACUGCGAGUCAAGGUCUCUCUGUUUCCACAUAUAUAAAUCUUACACUAGACUGAACUGACAAGGUUGCCCAUCGUGGAACACCCCUAGGCCUUGAAUCAUUGAUGCUAGUUAAGAGAUGAGCGGCUGACUACAAAAUGAUUCUUCAACUACAACAUCCUCAUAGCCAUCCACUACUCCAACGUCAAUUGUAGUCUCUUCUAGUGUACUUGGUACAUUAACAACCACAGGGCCAGUGGCGGAUGCAGGCACAAUUUUAUGGCGUGGAAAAGGUAAGUAGGAAAUGUAUCUCAGCUCAAAUCAUCAAUGAAGUAUCAUAUAGACCUAGUAUACAUGACAGGUGUUAAUUAUAUAUGGCAGCAGCCAAAGCUUGCCAAUUGCUGGCUUCGCCACUGAACAGGGAUGUGCUAGGAUCAUCUGAAAAACAACAAGGUUCGUAAUAGAAGAAAAAGCACUGACCUGGAGAAGAUCCAACACUUGGGGUAUAUGAUGGGAAGGGAACAAAAAAAUGGGGAUGAGGCUUGUUGAGAUGAAUGGCUUCGUUGCUAGCCGGCCGAAGUCGCAUAUAAAUGAACCCAACGAGAUCUGGACUGAGUUGACUUGACUCUCCCUCCAUCAUGGUAAAUAAUGA